ACACUCACUCACUCACUCACUCAUCUAUUCAUCUAUUUUUGGCCUAAGUGCCUUUGGACACUUCUUCGGAAAAGCACACGAACUCUUUGGAGUCUCCUGUUCCACUUGGUAAAUUUCCUAUAGCCACGCACUGAAAGUCCCUGCUGCCCUCCUUCCUCUGAGCUUGUGGGGCCCACAGAUCCCCUGCUCCACUUCCUGCUUCAUUUCAGCUGCUGGUGAGAAGAAAAGGCAUCCCAGCUUAUAUUCAGACACAUGGCCUUGAACUCGUAAUAACUCACGCAUGUAAGCCACAAUAACUUCAUUUGCAUGCAACCACCUUGAAUGAAUGGUCUCAGUAAAUGUGUCAUUUAUUCUCAAUAUUCUGGAGUGCUGGAAAAAAUGUGGAGUCAAAGGAUCCCUCAGUCUGCUGGUGUGACCUGGGGCACCCAUCCCUGUUCCCUCUCCUCUUACAUGGGAUAAAACCCCAGCGGAGCCGUGUCUCUGGAUCAUUGUGAUGGAUUAGGUGUUCUGCUGAGAGCUGGGCUGUCUGCUUAGAAAUCAGCCUCCAGGCCUGACUUUUGGCCUCUGCCCCGCCUGUGGAGUCGGUGCGGGCUCCAGAUUCCAGAGGCGAAGGAUACAUCCUAGUGCCAGCUCAGAUCUGAAACAGGCGUGCCCUUCGUUUUCAG